CCUACGGGUGGCUGCAGUGGGGAAUAUUGGGCAAUGGGCGCAAGCCUGACCCAGCCACGUCGCGUGAAGGAAGAAUGCCCUACGGGUUGUAACUUCUUUUUAUAGGGACGUAAUAUAUGACACUACUUGAUGUCUAAGUGUCCUCUAUCAAUGAGCAUCCGCUAACUACGUUCCAGCGGCCGCGGUAGUACGGCGGAUUCAAUCGUUGUACGGGUUUAUUGGGUGUAAAGGGAGUGCAGAUGGGAGGUUAAGGUAGUUGUGAAAGUUCGUGGCUCAACCUUUGAAUUGCAAUUGAUACUGGUAUGCUUGAGUGAUGGUGAGGCAGGCGGAAUUCGGUGUGUAGCGGUGAAAUGCGUAGAUAUACAGAAGAACACCAAUGGCGAAGGCAGCCUACUAAAC
rnacentral:rRNA from 1 species